rnacentral:lncRNA from 1 species
UUUUUUUUUUUUUGCACUAUUGACUUUUGCAAUUGGUUGAGAACAAUGUUGAUUUCAAUGGUUUUACCCUUCUCUAUCUACAGGUCAAGUUCAAGUUUUCAUUCCUCUUGUUGAAUGACAACAGUCAAUUACUGGAAAAUGACUUUGUGUUCACUGUAAACUGUGUAUUUUUCUAACAAAUUUAUUUAUUGCUCUUUAUUUUUGCUGUAUCAAAUGAAAAUACAAUGUUUAUGGUACAGUAUGCAAAACAUCUAUGUUGGUGCAUACCAGACCAACUAUUAAUAAUCAUAUUCAGUGCUUUACAUGUUUUAAGCUUUACAUGUUAACAUCAUAGCUGUUUUUUGUUGUUGUUUGUUUGUUUUUUACUUAUAUGUAAAAAUUUUACAAAGCCUUUACUACAUUUUAGGAAAUUUACUGGGAGUUUGGAAGUGACUUAUAACCCAGGAUCAUUUUUCCCAUUUUAAAUAAUGGAAAAAUUUGCUUCCAGUUAUCAUUUUCCUGCAGAGUAUUGGUGUUUCAGGAUUUUCAGUCUACUAAUGUUAACUAAGGGAUACCUGUAGGUUUUUUUAAUCGUGUCUUUCAUUUUGCUCAUAGUUUCAAGUUCUUAGGGAAUUAUCUUCCUCGUUAUGUAAAUAUAUUGACAUUCAAAUUGAGAUUUAUCAUUGUAUGGUUUUUGUAGUAUUGGUGGUGUGUGGGUGUGUGUAACUGGGGCGGGGGGCGGGGGUAGAGAAAGAAAGGGGAGGAGAAAGAGAAAGAAAGAAGGAACUAUUCUUUUGCAAGACAUUUUUUUCCUAGUAAGAAUCCUGCAUGUCCUUACUUCUAGAAUGUCCCUCUAGAGAGGUUCUCUGUUUGCUACUGCUUUGGGCCCCAUGGAUAUCACCAAGCUAGGAUCAGUUUUAUGGUAACGUAUCAGCUUAGAGAUUUCUUCACCACUAAUGUAUCACAAAUUCAGAUGCAAUCCCCUCCUCAGUGCUGACUUGGAAUUUUUCUUUUUUACUGAACACUUUUUUUUCCCCAUGUAAAGCAUCAGGAGGAAUAAAUUUCACGUUCUCCAAGGCAAUGGAUGAGAUUCUUUUUAGUCCUCUUUUCCAGAGAUGGCUCAGUGAAAUUUUUCAGAUACAUUUACUAAGGCUCUCGACUCUGUCUCUCUUGAUGGAUCCAAGGUCUUGUUUUAUGCCCUUUUGUAAAAGUUAAACUAUCGAGUCUUUUGCCACAAAGGGCCUAUGUCUGGAUCCUGUAACUACUCGAAACUGCCACCAAUCCAUCUACCAAUCCCACCACUCUAGACUUUAAUCCGCAAUUGUUUUCUACAAGAAAGUUAUCUUCUUUGUGUCCUGAAGCAUGUAUUUGAAUUUCUGAAUCUUUCAGUGAGAAACUUUUGCAUAUUAAUCUUUUUCAAAUAGUCCAUUCCUACAACUAAAUAUUGAUUGAAAAAGUUAAAAUUAUUUCUCUCAAAAAGCCCAGUUUUUAGGACUUUCUGUAUCUUAUUCUCCUUUUGAAUUGAUUAAAGCUGCUUUGCCCUUCCCUUCUUCUCCCUGCCCAUGUGGUUAUCAUGGUAGGCUCAACUCCCUCUCAGGAAGAAAUCAGGAGUAAGAAUUUGAUCAUCGUAUUCAAACAAGACUGUGGUGGAUUGUACUGUC